ACUGUUGAUCUUUCAUCAAACCGAAGGUUUAUUUCUCUAUUUCUCCACAGGUACUGACUCACCCAUUGAUUGCUUCCAGCUCUUUCUAUAUGUCUUAAAAAUAAAAUUCUGGAAAUAGAGAACAGACAGACCAGAAGCGAGAAUUAAGAGCAGACUAACGUUGUUUACUCGGACUGACCUGUUGGAAUCAGCGCAUGAGAGUUCAAUGAACUGCUGAACGUGAAGGAGACAGACGUCACAGGCUCGAUGGAUCCGAAUGUUCUCAGGGAUAUCACCAGUGCUGCUGACAUAAAAAUAGAUCUACGGAAACCAACUCUAUAUCUACAGAUGAGAACAUCCUAUGACCACAUUGUACCAAGUAUUGGUCCAAGUAUUUCAUCAUCUCUCUUCCCCAUCUCAUAUUCACCAAGAACACAGAAUUGCUAAUACAAGCAAAGGAAAAAUUGUGCAAUGCAAUUUAUGGUCUGUUUAUCUGCAAAGUUGUACAUCCAAUUGAUCGAUUCCCCUUACUCUAGUUAGCCAGUAACAUUUAAUGUGUUAAUGGCAGUAAAAUCAGAAUGCU